rfam:Medicago truncatula strain A17 chromosome 2, whole genome shotgun sequence.
AUAUAAGUAAAAAAAUUCCAUUUUAAGUUCAUUCAUUUAAUGAUGCACAUGGUCUUUAUUAUAAACCACAUACAUCAUUAAAUGAAUGAAUCUAAAAUGUAAUUUUUUGCUUAUAU